GGUUAGAGCACCCUGAUUGUAUAGCAAAAAUGAGAAAAUGGAUUGAGCGUAGAAGGGUCAUUGAGUUCUUGAAGGGCUUAAAUUCGGAGUUUGAAGGAAGAAGGAAUGCAAUGUUUCAUCAAACCACCCUUCCUACCUUGGAUGAGGCUAUUGCAGCUAUGGCACAGGAGAAGCUUAAGAAGAAAGUAUUGCCUAGUGCCACACCAUCUUCACCAAGCCCCACCUAUGUAGUUGCACAAAGUAAAGAGACUAGGGAGUGCUUCAAUUGUGGUAAAAUGGGGCACCUUAUACGUGAUUGCCGCGCUCCUCGCAAGCCUAGUUAUGGGAGAGGAAGAUUUGGUGAUAGGGGUGGAGCAAGAGGUGGAAGAGGUUAUGCAGGUAGAGGUAACAGAGGUAGAGGCUAUGAGUAUAGAAGUGAUCACAGAGCUAAUGUGGUCACUCUUGAAGAGGGUUGUUCUAGAUCUACAAAUGUUGAUGUUGCCAAUCUUGUUCAUUCUUCCUGAGGAGAGGGAAACAGGGAAGAAACUUGGGAUUGGCGUCAGGCGUGAUGGACUUUGGUAUUUGGAUCGAAAGGAGACAAGUGAAGAUGUAUGUCUUGCAUUGAUGGCUUCUACAAGCGAAGAAGAGGCUAAGGUAUUACUUUUGCAUUGUCGACUGGGGCACAUAUUUUUUGAAACUAUGAGUAAGAUGUUCCCAGCAGAACUAAGUAGAGUGGAUAAACAUAAGUUAGUAUGUGAUGCAUGUGAGUAUGGAAAACAUACAAGAACAUCAUAUGUGAGUAGAGGACUCCGGAGUAUGUUACCAUUUAUGCUAAUUCACUCAGAUGUUUGGACUU